rnacentral:rRNA from 1 species
GAUGAACGCUGACAGCAUGCUUAACACAUGCAAGUCAACCUGUGGCGGACGGGUGAGUAACGCGUAAAGAACUUACCGCACAGCUAGGGGCAAUAUCUGGAAACGAAUGCUAAUAACUAAUACUAUGAGAUAGCGUUGGGUGCCAUUAGCUAGUUGGCGAGGUAACGGCUCACCAAGGCGAUGAUGCGUAGCCGGACUGAGAGGGUGAUCGGCCACAAGGUGACAGGGAAGCGGCCCUUACUGCAACGUGAGGAAGCAGUGGGGAAUAGUGGACAAGGGACCAAAGUCUGAUGAAGCAAUUCUGGGUGCACAAUGAAGUUGUCGGAAGGUAAAGUUCAUUCAGAUGAGCAGCGGUACCAGCAGAAGAAGUGACGGCUAAAUACGUGCCAGCAGCCGCGGUAAUUC